UACGGAGGGUGCAAGCGUUAUCCGGAUUUACUGGGUUUAAAGGGUGCGCAGGCGGAUAUGUAAGUCAGUGGUGAAAUCUCUAGGCUUAACCUGGAAAUUGCCGUUGAUACUAUAUAUCUUGAAUGUUGUUGAGGUGAGCGGAAUAUGUCAUGUAGCGGUGAAAUGCUUAGAUAUGACAUAGAACACCAAUUGCGAAGGCAGCUCACUAAGCAAAUAUUGACGCUGAGGCACGAAAGCGUGGGGAUCAAACAGG
rnacentral:rRNA from 1 species